AUUUCCGUCGUUGGGGAGUAGCUAAUUUUCGCACCGCGAAAAUGUAUGUAUCAACAUACUCGCUAAAUAGCGUGGUACAUACGGACUGAAAGCCCUUUCAGUCAUGCGAGACCAUUGGCAUAUACGCUGCAGAUACUGGGAACAGUGUAUGUGUUUAAUGGAAUUCCCGGUCU
rnacentral:sRNA from 2 species